rnacentral:rRNA from 1 species
AUGGAUCCGCUUGACGAGGAGUCCUUCUUGGAGGAGCUCAUGCCGCUUCACCCGGAGGAGGCGCCGGCGCCGCCGUACCCGGGCAGCAACAGCAUGAUGACGAUCAGCGACCUCCUCUUCUACGGCGGCGGCGAGGGCUGCACUCCCGAGGAGAGGAGUGGCGUGGACUUUGUCGUGCCGUUUCAGCAGCCCAUGCUGCCCUCGCCGCACCAGGAGUUCAACUUCAACUACCUGAGCGAAGUGUGCAACCCCUGGAGGAGCUGCUUCCCUGACCCUCCUGCGGUCGACCAGGCUGCUGCCGGCAAGGCGCCUCUCACUCUUCCCCUCCAUGAUGCUCUUGCGAGCUCGUCAACGUUCGUGUUCAGGGGAGGGGCCGGGGAGAGCUCGGGAAUGAGAAGCAUGCCGGCCUCCAGCACCCACCCGGAGAGCAAGCUCAACACCGGAAGCGGAACUCCGUCAAGGAACCUCAUGGCGGAAAGGCGGCGCCAGAAGCGGCUCAACGACCGCCUCUCUAUGCUCCGCUCCACUGUGCCCAAGAUUAGCAAGAUGGAUAGGACUGCGACCCUCGGGGACACCAUAGACUACGUCAAGGAACUGACCGGGCGGAUUAAAACCCUGGAUGAGGAGAUCGGCGCCACGCCCGAGGAGCUGAACCUGCUCAAAAAUUUCUCCAGCGGUGGCAAAGAGGAGACGCCGACGAGGAGUUCCACCAAGGUAUGUGCAAACGUCGAGAACCGAGGCGCAGGUGACACGAAGAUUGAGAUCUGCUUCUCGACAAAGCCCGGAGCGCUGAUCGCAACGGUGACCACGCUGGACGUGCUUGGGCUGGAGAUCGAGCAGUGCGUCGUGAGUUGCUUCAGUGACUUCGCCAUGCAGGCCUCGUGCUCAUAA